rnacentral:miRNA from 1 species
UACUUCCUCCGUUUCACAAUGUAAGUCAUUCUAGCAUUUUCCACAUUCAUAUUGAUGUUAAUGAAUCUAUAUAGAUAUAUAUGUCUAGAUUCAUUAACAUCAAUAUGAAUGUGGAAAAUGCUAGAAUGACUUACAUUGUGAAACAGAGGGAGUAUUGUAGAAUUGA